rnacentral:rRNA from 1 species
CCUACGGGUGGCAGCAGUGAGGAAUAUUGGUCAAUGGGCGGGAGCCUGAACCAGCCAAGUCGCGUGAGGGAAGACGGUCCUAUGGAUUGUAAACCUCUUUAGGCGGGGAGCAAUGCCGGGCACGCGUGCCCGGAGGGAGAGUACCCGCAGAAUAAGCAUCGGCUAACUCCGUGCCAGCAGCCGCGGUAAUACGGAGGAUGCGAGCGUUAUCCGGAUUUAUUGGGUUUAAAGGGUGCGUAGGCGGGAUGCCAAGUCAGCGGUAAACAUGCGGUGCUCAACGCCGUCGAGCCGUUGAAACUGGCGUUCUUGAGUGGGCGAGAAGUAUGCGGAAUGCGUGGUGUAGCGGUGAAAUGCAUAGAUAUCACGCAGAACUCCGAUUGCGAAGGCAGCAUACCGGCGCCCUACUGACGCUGAGGCACGAAAGCGUGGGUAUCGAACAGGAUUAGAUACCCCGGUAGUC